rnacentral:rRNA from 1 species
AGAUUGAACGCUGGCGGCAGGCUUAACACAUGCAAGUCGAGCGGGGAAAUGUAGCUUGCUACAUUACCUAGCGGCGGACGGGUGAGUAAUGCUUAGGAAUCUGCCUAUUAGUGGGGGACAACAUUUCGAAAGGAAUGCUAAUACCGCAUACGCCCUACGGGGGAAAGCAGGGGAUCUUCGGACCUUGCGCUAAUAGAUGAGCCUAAGUCGGAUUAGCUAGUUGGUGGGGUAAAGCCUACCAAGGCGACGAUCUGUAGCGGGUCUGAGAGGAUGAUCCGCCACACUGGGACUGAGACACGGCCCAGACUCCUACGGGAGGCAGCAGUGGGGAAUAUUGGACAAUGGGGGAACCCUGAUCCAGCCAUGCCGCGUGUGUGAAGAAGGCCGUUUUUGGUUGUAAAGCAACUUUAAGCGUAGGAGGAGGCUACCUAGAUUAAUACUCGUGGAUAGUGACGUUACUCGCAGAAGUAAGCACCGGCUAACUCUGUGCCAGCAGCCG